UCGCAAUGAUGAAUAUGAUUCCAAAGCCAUUCGUAGUUUCCACCAGAUGUUACACAACAUAUGAUGGUUAGUACCUUCCUUGGAUGUCUGAGCGA